UACGGAGGGUGCAAGCGUUAUCCGGAUUCACUGGGUUUAAAGGGUGCGUAGGUGGGUUGGUAAGUCAGUGGUGAAAUCUCCAGGCUCAACUUGGAAACUGCCAUUGAUACUAUCAAUCUUGAAUACCGUGGAGGUCAGCGGAAUAUGUCAUGUAGCGGUGAAAUGCUUAGAUAUGACAUAGAACACCAAUUGCGAAGGCAGCUGGCUACACGAAUAUUGACACUGAUGCACGAAAGCGUGGGGAUCAAACAGG
rnacentral:rRNA from 1 species